rnacentral:rRNA from 1 species
AUUGAACGCUGGCGGCAGGCCUAACACAUGCAAGUCGAGCGGAGCGGCGGACGGGUGAGUGAGGCCUAGGAAUUUGCCUGGUAGCGGGGGAUAACGUCCGGAAAUGGGCGCUAAUACCGCAAACUCUCAGCUGCGCCUAGGUCGGAUUAGCUAGUGGGUGGGGUAAGGGCCUACCAAGGCGACGAUCCGGAACUGGUCUGAGAGGAUGAGCAGUCACACUGGAACUGAGACACGGUCCAGACUCCUACGGGAGGCAGCAGUGGGGAAUAUUGGACAAUGGGCGAAAGCCUGAUCCAGCCAUGCCGCGUGUGUGAAGAAGGUCUUCGGAUUGUAAAGCACUUUAAGUUGGGAGGCGUUACCAACAGAAUAAGCACCGGCUAACUUCGUGCCAGCAGCCGCGGUAAUUC